rnacentral:rRNA from 1 species
GACGAACGCUGGCGGCGUGCCUAAUACAUGCAAGUAGAACGCUGAAGGAGGAGCUCGCUUCUCCGGAUGAGUUGCGAACGGGUGAGUAACGCGUAGGUAACCUGCCUGGUAGCGGGGGAUAACUAUUGGAAACGAUAGCUAAUACCGCAUAAGAGUAGAUGUCGCAUGACAUUUGCUUAAAAGGUGCAAUUGCAUCACUACCAGAUGGACCUGCGUUGUAUUAGCUAGUUGGUGAGGUAACGGCUCACCAAGGCAACGAUACAUAGCCGACCUGAGAGGGUGAUCGGCCACACUGGGACUGAGACACGGCCCAGACUCCUACGGGAGGCAGCAGUAGGGAAUCUUCGGCAAUGGACGGAAG